rnacentral:sRNA from 1 species
CGUAAGCUGCGUUAGGGAUGGGAGCGAUAUCCUUUUGCGACACACUAUACUUCCGGCAAAGCAAUCUAAAACGUCUCUCGCAAAAGAUUUAGCGGACAGCCCGGCCCGGA